rnacentral:rRNA from 1 species
GACGAACGCUGGCGGCGUGCUUAACACAUGCAAGUCGAGCGGGAAACUUCGGUUUCCAGCGGCGGACGGGUGAGUAACACGUGGGCAACCUGCCUCACAAUGAGGGAUAGCCCUCCGAAAGGAGGAUUAAUACCUCAUAACACAAGAGAAACGCAUGUUUCUCUUGCCAAAGAAUUUCGUUGUGAGAUGGGCCCGCGGCGCAUUAGCUUGUUGGUGAGGUAACGGCUCACCAAGGCUUCGAUGCGUAGCCGACCUGAGAGGGUGAUCGGCCACAUUGGAACUGAGACACGGUCCAGACUCCUACGGGAGGCAGCAGUGGGGAAUAUUGCACAAUGGAGGAAACUCUGAUGCAGCAACGCCGCGUGAGUGAUGAAGGUCUUCGGAUUGUAAAGCUCUGUCUUCUGGGACGAUAAUGACGGUACCAGAGGAGGAAGCCACGGCUAACUACGUGCCAGCAGCCGCGGUAACAC